ACUACCCCAGGGACUCCCAUCCAACACCUUUGGGGUGGAGUCCCACCCAUACAAAAAGCCAGACUCACUCCUUUGGGCUAAGAGGAAACACUUGUAGCAGCAGGGAAGAGACGAGGAUGGAGAGUUGAAGCCAUUUUUGAGAUGAUUCGAGAAAAGACAAUGGUCCCAGAGAUGUGUAGGAAGCAGGUGCAACCGCUCUCUGUGAUCGCUGACGGCCUGCUCGCUGUGCAACGUUCUCCACGUUCUCUCCCUCUGCAUCGUCAGCAUUCCAAAAUAAUGGGAACUUUGUGUCUGAAGCGGAGGGAGCUCAGUGGAUAGAGGUGGUGAGUCUCACGUGUGCACACACGCGUGUGUGCCACCAAGCAUGGUCGGCAAGCUGUUUUAUUUUAUUGUAUUUCAAAUCAGA